rnacentral:rRNA from 1 species
AAUGGCGGGUGCUAAUACAUGCAAGUCGAGCGGACAGAUGGGAGCUUGCUCCCUGAUGUUAGCGGCGGACGGGUGAGUAACACGUGGGUAACCUGCCUGUAAGACUGGGAUAACUCCGGGAAACCGGGGCUAAUACCGGAUGGUUGUUUGAACCGCAUGGUUCAGACAUAAAAGGUGGCUUCGGCUACCACUUACAGAUGGACCCGCGGCGCAUUAGCUAGUUGGUGAGGUAACGGCUCACCAAGGCGACGAUGCGUAGCCGACCUGAGAGGGUGAUCGGCCACACUGGGACUGAGACACGGCCCAGACUCCUACGGGAGGCAGCAGUAGGGAAUCUUCCGCAAUGGACGAAAGUCUGACGGAGCAACGCCGCGUGAGUGAUGAAGGUUUUCGGAUCGUAAAGCUCUGUUGUUAGGGAAGAACAAGUGCCGUUCAAAUAGGGCGGCACCUUGACGGUACCUAACCAGAAAGCCACGGCUAACUACGUGCCAGCAGCCGCGGUAAUACGUAGGUGGCAAGCGUUGUCCGGAAUUAUUGGGCGUAAAGGGCUCGCAGGCGGUUUCUUAAGUCUGAUGUGAAAGCCCCCGGCUCAACCGGGGAGGGUCAUUGGAAACUGGGGAACUUGAGUGCAGAAGAGGAGAGUGGAAUUCCACGUGUAGCGGUGAAAUGCGUAGAGAUGUGGAGGAACACCAGUGGCGAAGGCGACUCUCUGGUCUGUAACUGACGCUGAGGAGCGAAAGCGUGGGGAGCGAACAGGAUUAGAUACCCUGGUAGUCCACGCCGUAAACGAUGAGUGCUAA